AAUUAUUAAGUUAAUUAUGUUUGAUAAUUCUUAUUUUACUUGAGUUGUGGAAUGUGAUUUUUAUUUGUCGUGUUGUAAUGUAUUUAUUUAUUUAAUUAUAUGAGACUAUUUUUAUUAUUUUUAUUAUUAUUAUUAUUUUAUAUUUUGGGUUUGUGCAAUUAGUUGAGCGGUGUUUCACAAAUUAGAAAAAAAAAAAAGAACCAAACUCGGUUCCUUGCCCCUCUCUUUGUCGGUUUACAAACCGAAUCAAAUAUCCCACCCCCUUUGUUAAUGAAAGAAAUAAAACCAAAACCCCAACCAUUUUCUUUCUCUCUCCCCGUGAAACCCACAAACCCCAAACCUGUACCCCGCGUUUUCUCUCUCUUCUUGCGUGCCGGUUCCGGUGGCUACAGGUCGGCGGUGCUGUCGUCUUCAAUUAUUGGUCGCCGGAAUUUCCCUUUCCCUCCGUUCGCGUCGUUGCUGCCGGUGAUGUUGUUGCUGCUGUCUCGUUUUCUCUCUCCUCCUCUGUUCGUCGCGGAGUUGUUGCUGCUGUCGUUGUUAGUUGGUUGUCGUGCCGCUGCUCUGUUCUCGUCUUCUUCUUCUCGCCGGUGUCUUAAGUUCGCCGGAGCCUCGCUGCUUCCUCGACCGCUGAUGCGCGGUGUUGCCGCCAAUCUGCCGCCUUGGUUGGUCGUUUGCAAAGUACCGGAGUAUCUUAAAUGUUUCAGGUUGAAGCCGUGAGUUAAUCUUCUACAAGUUGAAGCUGAUACGAGAUGGUGUAGUAUUACAGUUGUUAUCGAAGUGAGGACGCUUGACUUUGUAAUAGUUAGUCGUUUAUUAUUUAUAAUAUAUCUUUCUAUUUAAGAGUUGUUAGUGUUGUUGCUCCGCAAAAGCGUUGAGGCUGUUGAACUUUGGGAUUUGGAAAUAUUUUAUAAAUUGAAUUUGCAAACAGGUUUAAAUCAUUUCUCGCUUUAGCGUUGUCUUAUUUUCAAAGGGAACUCUGUCGAAUUUUCUGUAGAAAUUUAUGGAAAUAGAGUCUAAGAAUCAGAGCAUAGUUGCAAUAGUUAAUUAAUAUGAAUAGAAUUUGGGGAAAUGAGUUCCACACUCUCCGAUGUAGUUUGGUGAGUGUGAUGGUAAUAGUUCGGGUUAUCUCGACCAGAGUCUCUUUCGCUGUGCUUAAUCCUCUCUAAGCUGGUCGGGAGAAUCCGGGCUGUUACAAGUGGUAUCAGAGCUUGAGUAGUUUUUGGACAUGCUAUGAUCUUCAUAUCAUAGUGUAAGGGUUGAAAAUACGUCUAAUGGAUUGACUAAAGAAUUCGGUAUAAAUGAAUCAAGCCGUAUGAGUGUUUGCGCUUAUGCGUGUACUAUAUGAAUGCAUUUAUAUGCAUAAGUAUUACUUGAGUGUAUAUUUGCUAUGUGUAAAAUGUUAUCUUGUUAUGACUUGAUUGUUUAUGAUAUUAUUUAUUUCGAAUGCGUAUUUCGAGAAAACUUAUAUGAUUUGAUUAGGUAAAUGAAUUUCAAACGAGAUCUCUGCAAAUGAGAUGAUUGAAAUCCAAUGCCAACAAGUUUGCCGCUUUUGCUCUUUGCUCCUUGAUAUUGCGAGUCAAGUCGAAGUAGAGAUUUUCUUUACUCCUUGAUUUCGUGAAUCAAGUUGAAGUAGAGAACCAAAAGAUGAUGGUAGAAUGGAGGCUGGAUGCCUAAUAUCUUAUGACCUUGAGAUUUUGAUUUUUAGUGAAAAAUUGUUUGCAAGUUUCGAGGACGAAACUUUUGAUAAGGGUGGUAGUAUGUAAUAGCCCUAUUUUUAAGGACGUUUAUUUAAUGCUAAUUAUAAUUAUUAAGUUAAUUAUGUUUGAUAAUUCUUAUUUUACUUGAGUUGUGGAAUGUGAUUUUUAUUUGUCGUGUUGUAAUGUAUUUAUUUAUUUAAUUAUAUGAGACUAUUUUUAUUAUUUUUAUUAUUAUUAUUAUUUUAUAUUUUUGGGUUUGUGCAAUUAGUUGAGCGGUGUUUCACAAAUUAGAAAAAAAAAAAAGAACCAAACUCGGUUCCUUGCCCCUCUCUUUGUCGGUUUACAAACCGAAUCAAAUAUCCCACCCCCUUUGUUAAUGAAAGAAAUAAAACCAAAACCCCAACCAUUUUCUUUCUCUCUCCCCGUGAAACCCACAAACCCCAAACAUGUACCCCGCGUUUUCUCUCUCUUCUUGCGCGCCGGUGCCGGUGGCUACAGGUCGGCGGUGCUGUCGUCUUCAGUUAUUGGUCGCCGGAAUUUCCCUUUCCCUCCGUUCGCGUCGUUGCUGCCGGUGAUGUUGUUGCUGCUGUCUCGUUUUCUCUCUCCUCCUCUGUUUCGUCGCGGAGUUGUUGCUGCUGUCGUUGUUAGUUGGUUGUCGUGCCGCUGCUCUGUUCUCGUCUUCCUCUUCUCGCCGGUGUCUUAAGUUCGCCGGAGCCUCGCUGCUUCCUCGACCGCUGAUGCGCGGUGUUGCCGCCAAUCUGCCGCCUUGGUUGGUCGUUUGCAAAGUACCGGAGUAUCUUAAAUGUUUCAGGUUGAAGCCGUGAGUUAAUCUUCUACAAGUUGAAGCUGAUACGAGAUGGUGUAGUAUUACAGUUGUUAUCGAAGUGAGGACGCUUGACUUUGUAAUAGUUAGUCGUUUAUUAUUUAUAAUAUAUCUUUCUAUUUAAGAGUUGUUAGUGUUGUUGCUCCGCAAAAGCGUUGAGGCUGUUGAACUUUGGGAUUUGGAAAUAUUUUAUAAAUUGAAUUUGCAAACAGGUUUAAAUCA